rnacentral:misc_RNA from 1 species
GUGAAUCAUCGAAUCUUUGAACGCACAUUGCGCCCCCUGGUAUUCCGGGGGGCAUGCCUGUUCGAGCGUCAUUACAACCCUCAAGCUCUGCUUGGUGUUGGGCUCCGCCGGUCCCGGCGGGCCUUAAAAUCAGUGGCGGUGCCAUUCGGCUUCAAGCGUAGUAAUUCUUCUCGCUUCGGAGGCCCGGGUGCGUGCUUGCCAGCAACCCCCAAUUUUUUUCAGGUUGACCUCGGAUCAGGUAGGGAUACCCGCUGAACUUAAGCAUAUCAAUAAGCGGAGGA